GGAGUAGGGUUAAACUUAUGGGGAGUAGGGUUAAACUGAUGGGGAGUAGGGUUAAACUGAUGAGGAGUAGGGUUAAAUUGAUGGGGAGUAGGGUUAAACUGAUGGGAGGUAGGGUUAAACUGAUUGGGAGUAGGGUUAAACUGAUGUGGAGUAGGGUUAUAGUGUUUAGGAGUAGUAUUAAACUGAUGAGGGCUAGUGUUAAACUGAUGAGGAGUAUUGUUAAACUGAUGAGGGGUAGAGUGAAAUUGAUGAGAGGUAUUGUUAAACUGAUGAGGGGUAGUGUUAGACUGAUGAGGACUAGUGUUAAACUGAUGAGGGGUAUUGUUAAACUGAUGAGGGGUAGAGUGAAAUUGAUGAGGGGUUGUGUUAAACUGAUGAGGGGUAUUUUUAAACUGAUGAGGGGUAGUGUUAAACUGAUGAGUGGUAGUGUUAUACUGAUGAGGGGUAUUGUUAAAUUGAUGACGGGUAGUGUUAGACUGAUGAGGGGUAGUGUUAAACUGAUGAGGACUAGUGUUAAACUGAUGAGGACUAGUUUUAAACUGAUGAGGGGUAUUGUUAAACUGAUGAGGGGUAGAGUGAAAUUGAUGAGGGGUUGUGUUAAACUGAUGAGGGGUAUUUUUAAACUGAUGAGGGGUAGUGUUAAACUGAUAAGUGGUAGUGUUAAACUGAUGAGGGGUAUUGUUAAAUUGAUGAGGGGUAUUGUUAAAUUGAUGAGGGUUAUUGUUAAACUGAUUAGGGGUACUGUUAAACUGAUGAAGGGUAGAGUUAAAUUGAUGAGGGGCAGAGUUAAAUUUAAGAGGGGUAGUGUUAAACUGAUGGGGGGUAGUGUUAAACUGACGAGGGGUAGAGUUAAAUUGAUAGGGAGUAGGGUUAAACUGAUGGGAUGUAGAGCUAAUCUGAUGGGGAGUAGGGUUAAACUGAUGAGUGGUAUUUUUAAACUGAUGAGGGGUAAUGUUAAACUGAUGAGUGUUAGUGUUAAACUGAUGAGGGGUAUUGUUAAAUUGAUGAGGGGUAUUGUUAAAUUGAUGUAGAGGUCUUGUUAAAUUGAUGAGGGAUAUUGUUAAACUGAUUAGGGGUAGUGUUAAACUGAUGAGGGGUAGAGUUAAAUUGAUGAGGGGCAGAGUUAAAUUUAAGAGGGGUAGUGUUAAACUGAUGGGGGGUAGUGUUAAACUGACGAGGGGUAGAGUUAAAUUGAUAGGGAGUAGGGUUAAACUGAUGGGAGGUAGGGUUAAACUGAUUGGGAGUAGGGUUAAAUUGAUGGGGAGUAGUGUUAAAGUGAUGGGGAGUAGGGUUAAACUGAUGGGGAGUAGGGUUAAACUGAUGGGAGGUAGGGUUAAACUGAUUGGGAGUAGGGUUAAACUGAUGGGGAGUAGGGUUAAACUGAUGGGGAGUAGGGUUAAAGUGAUGAGGAGUAGUAUUAAACUGAUGAGGGCUAGUGUUAAACUGAUGAGGGGUAUUGUUAAACUGAUGAGGGGUAGAGUGAAAUUGAUGAGGGCCAGUGUUAAACU
rnacentral:lncRNA from 13 species